GGGGCUGUAGCUCAAUUGGUAGAGCGCCGCUUUUGCAAGGCGGAGGUCAGGGGUUCGAUUCCCCUCAGCUCCACCG
rnacentral:tRNA from 1 species